CAAGUAAUUAAGUGCAUGUGGUGGAUGCCUUGGCAGUCAGAGGCGAUGAAAGACGUGAUAGCCUGCGAAAAGCUCCGGGGAGGCGGCAAAUAUCCUUUGAUCCGGAGAUGUCUGAAUGGGGGAACCCACCUACUUUAAGGUAGGUAUUGCAACAUGAAUACAUAGUGUUGCAAGGCGAACGAGGGGAAGUGAAACAUCUCAGUACCCUUAGGAAAAGAAAUCAAUUGAGAUUCCCUCAGUAGCGGCGAGCGAACGGGGAUCAGCCCAUUAAGUUAUGUGUGUUUUAGUGGAACGCUCUGGGAAGUGCGAACGUAGAGGGUGAUAUUCCCGUACACGAAAGGGCACACAUAAUGAUGACGAGUAGGGCGAGGCACGUGAAACCUUGUCUGAAUAUGGGGGGACCAUCCUCCAAGGCUAAAUACUCCUGACUGACCGAUAGUGAACCAGUACCGUGAGGGAAAGGCGAAAAGAACCCCUGUGAGGGGAGUGAAAUAGAUCCUGAAACCGCAUGCAUACAAGCAGUGGGAGCACCUUCGUGGUGUGACUGCGUACCUUUUGUAUAAUGGGUCAGCGACUUAUAUUCAGUAGCGAGGUUAACCGUAUAGGGGAGCCGUAGAGAAAUCGAGUCUUAAUAGGGCGUUUAGUUGCUGGGUAUAGACCCGAAACCAGGCGAUCUAUCCAUGAGCAGGUUGAAGGUUGGGUAACACUAACUGGAGGACCGAACCCACUGUCGUUGAAAAGCCAGGGGAUGACUUGUGGAUAGGGGUGAAAGGCUAAUCAAGCCUGGUGAUAGCUGGUUCUCCCCGAAAGCUAUUUAGGUAGCGCCUCGGACGAAUACCAUAGGGGGUAGAGCACUGUUUCGGCUAGGGGGUCAUCCCGACUUACCAAACCGAUGCAAACUCCGAAUACCUAUGAGUACUAUCCGGGAGACAGACUGCGGGUGCUAACGUCCGUAGUCAAGAGGAAAACAAUCCAGACCGCCAGCUAAGGCCCCAAAAUCAUAGUUAAGUGGGAAACGAUGUGGGAAGGCAUAGACAGCUAGGAGGUUGGCUUAGAAGCAGCCACCCUUUAAAGAAAGCGUAAUAGCUCACUAGUCGAGUCGGCCUGCGCGGAAGAUGUAACGGGGCUAAAACUAUGUGCCGAAGCUGCGGAUGUAUACUUUGUAUACGUGGUAGGGGAGCGUUCUGUAAGCCGAUGAAGGUGUGUUGAGAAGCAUGCUGGAGGUAUCAGAAGUGCGAAUGCUGACGUGAGUAACGACAAAACGGGUGAAAAACCCGUUCGCCGAAAGACCAAGGGUUCCAGUCCAACGUUAAUCGGGGCUGGGUGAGUCGACCCCUAAGGCGAGGCCGAAAGGCGUAGUCGAUGGGAAAAUGGUUAAUAUUCCAUUACUUCUGUGUAAUGCGAUGAGAGGACGGAGAAGGCUAAAUCAGCCUGGCGUUGGUUGUCCAGGUGAAAGGAUGUAGGCAUGUAUCUUAGGCAAAUCCGGGGUACUCUAUGCUGAGAUCUGAUAGCAAGCUGUACUUGUACAGCGAAGUGGUUGAUGCCAUGCUUCCAGGAAAAGUCUCUAAGCUUCAGUUACACAGGAAUCGUACCCGAAACCGACACAGGUGGUCAGGUCGAGUAGACCAAGGCGCUUGAGAGAACUCUGCUGAAGGAACUAGGCAAAAUGGUACCGUAACUUCGGGAGAAGGUACGCUGUUGUUGGUGAUGGAACUCGCUUCCUGAGCUGACGACAGCCGCAGAAACCAGGCCGCUGCAACUGUUUAUUAAAAACAUAGCACUCUGCAAACACGAAAGUGGACGUAUAGGGUGUGAUGCCUGCCCGGUGCUGGAAGGUUAAUUGAUGGGGUUAGCGUAAGCGAAGCUCUUGAUCGAAGCCCCAGUAAACGGCGGCCGUAACUAUAACGGUCCUAAGGUAGCGAAAUUCCUUGUCGGGUAAGUUCCGACCUGCACGAAUGGCAUAAUGAUGGCGGCGCUGUCUCCAGCAGAGGCUCAGUGAAAUCGAAAUCGCUGUGAAGAUGCAGUGUACCCGCGGCUAGACGGAAAGACCCCGUGAACCUUUACUGCAGCUUGACACUGAACUUUGACCUUACUUGUGUAGGAUAGGUGGGAGGCUUUGAAGCUGGAACGCUAGUUCCAGUGGAGCCGUCCUUGAAAUACCACCCUGGUAAUGUUGAGGUUCUAACUCUGUCCCGUGAUCCGGGACGAGGACCGUGUCUGGUGGGUAGUUUGACUGGGGCGGUCUCCUCCUAAAGAGUAACGGAGGAGUACGAAGGUGCGCUCAGCGUGGUCGGAAAUCACGCGUAGAGUAUAAAGGCAAAAGCGCGCUUAACUGCGAGACCCACAAGUCGAGCAGGUACGAAAGUAGGUCUUAGUGAUCCGGUGGUUCUGUAUGGAAGGGCCAUCGCUCAACGGAUAAAAGGUACUCUGGGGAUAACAGGCUGAUACCGCCCAAGAGUUCAUAUCGACGGCGGUGUUUGGCACCUCGAUGUCGGCUCAUCUCAUCCUGGGGCUGAAGCAGGUCCCAAGGGUAUGGCUGUUCGCCAUUUAAAGAGGUACGCGAGCUGGGUUUAGAACGUCGUGAGACAGUUCGGUCCCUAUCUACCGUGGGCGCUGGAAAUUUGAGAGGAUCUGCUCCUAGUACGAGAGGACCAGAGUGGACGAACCUCUGGUGUACCGGUUGUGACGCCAGUCGCAUCGCCGGGUAGCUAUGUUCGGAAGGGAUAACCGCUGAAAGCAUCUAAGCGGGAAGCCUACCUCAAGAUAAGAUUUCCCUAGGACUUUAUGUCCUCUAAAGAGCCGUUCGAGACUAGGACGUUGAUAGGUUGGAUGUGGAAGCAUAGUGAUAUGUGAAGCUGACCAAUACUAAUUG
rnacentral:rRNA from 2 species